CUUCGCUGCAGGCAGGAAAGAAAGAAGAAAGAUCUGGGGAUAUAAAUAGCUUGACAAGCUGCUUUUGCCACAGGAGUGCUGCUCUGGCCAGCCUGGACGCGUGGAAGGGAAGGCCACCGACAAAUCUGCUGUAAAGCUGCUCUCAUUCGCAUUUAUCCAGAAAAACCCUAUUAGAUCAGCAAGGGUCAGCUGGCAAUGUGCAGACUCCAAGGUGACCUUCAGGCAUCCUCUGGGACCCUCUGAUGUGUUAAGAAUGAACCCCAGCUGCAGGGCUGGAAGGUAUACGGGCUUCGAGGCUGAAUAGUGACUAUUGCGAAUUGCGAAUACACAUUUCAGAGAAGCAAGGUAAGCGUCUCAAUUCUUUUGAAUAAAAAGCUUGCCUCUGCUUUAGCUUAUCCGUAC
rnacentral:lncRNA from 1 species